rnacentral:sRNA from 1 species
CCUCGUCAAUAAGUUGCGGGCAAAUAAAGUGGACGUGGGUGUCGAGGGCCGCGGCGGUAACAAUCUUGCCCUCGCCAGCCAUGGCCUCAGUUGACGCACCCACAUACAUCCCAGGUGUAACGCCGUCCAUGACGUCUGGGUUUCCGGCCUUACCAAUACCGACAAUCAUGCUAUUCCUGACACCAAUGUCAGCCUUGUAGACGCCAGUAUAGUCGAUAAUGACAGCGUUGGUGAUUACCAGGUCCAGGCACUGGCGGCGCAGCAAAGGGGUGGUCUGGCCCAUUCCGUCGCGCAG